UGAACGGUCUUUUUCAAGACCAUCAAUUAAUUUUUCAUUGAGAAAG
rfam:Clunio marinus genome assembly, contig: CLTMA_superscaffold_60B